GCCGAGGUAGCUCAGCCUGAUCCUCUCAGAAGAGGAGGCGAGGGAGAGCACCCGGCUGAAGACCGGCCCAGUCGCAGGUUCAAAUCCUGCCCUCGGCACCA
rnacentral:tRNA from 1 species